UACGGGGGGUGCGAGCGUUGUCCGGAAUCAUUGGGCGUAAAGAGCGCGUAGGCGGCCCUGUAAGUCCGCUGUGAAAGUCAAGGGCUCAACCCUUGGAUGCCGGUGGAUACUGCAGGGCUAGAGUCCGGAAGAGGCGAGUGGAAUUCCUGGUGUAGCGGUGAAAUGCGCAGAUAUCAGGAGGAACACCGAUGGCGAAGGCAGCUCGCUGGGACGGUACUGACGCUGAGGCGCGAAAGCGUGGGGAGCAAACAGG
rnacentral:rRNA from 1 species